CCCUUAGAUGUCCUGGGCUGCACGCGCGCUACACUGAUGUGUCCAGUAAGCACCUAACCUCUUCCGAAAGGAACGGGUAACCUUUGCAAAGCACAUCGUGAUGGGGAUAGAUUAUUGCAAUUAUUAGUCUUGAACGAGGAACUCCUAGUAAGCACAAGUCAUCAGCUUGUGUUGAUUACGUCCCUGCCCUUUGUACACACCGCCCGUCGCUCCUACCGAUUGAAUGUUCCGGUGAGCUCUUCGGACUGCGCGGUCUGCAGUUUCUGCGUUCCGUGCGGAAAGUUGCGCAAACCUUAACAUUUAGAGGAAGGAGAAGUCGUAACA
rnacentral:rRNA from 1 species